rnacentral:rRNA from 1 species
AGAGUUUGUUCAUGGCUCAGAUUGAACGCUGGCGGCAGGCCUAACACAUGCAAGUCGAACGGUAACAGGAAGCAGCUUGCUGCUUCGCUGACGAGUGGCGGACGGGUGAGUAAUGUCUGGGAAGCUGCCUGAUGGAGGGGGAUAACUACUGGAAACGGUAGCUAAUACCGCAUAAUGUCGCAAGACCAAAGAGGGGGACCUUCGGGCCUCUUGCCAUCGGAUGUGCCCAGAUGGGAUUAGCUUGUUGGUGGGGUAACGGCUCACCAAGGCGACGAUCCCUAGCUGGUCUGAGAGGAUGACCAGCCACACUGGAACUGAGACACGGUCCAGACUCCUACGGGAGGCAGCAGUGGGGAAUAUUGCACAAUGGGCGCAAGCCUGAUGCAGCCAUGCCGCGUGUAUGAAGAAGGCCUUCGGGUUGUAAAGUACUUUCAGCGGGGAGGAAGGGAGUAAAGUUAAUACCUUUGCUCAUUGACGUUACCCGCAGAAGAAGCACCGGCUAGCUCCGUGCCAACAGCCGCGGUAAUACGGAGGGUGCAAGCGUUAAUCGGAAUUACUGGGCGUAAAGCGCACGCAGGCGGUUUGUUAAGUCAGAUGUGAAAUCCCCGGGCUCAACCUGGGAACUGCGUCUGAUACUGGCAAGCUUGAGUCUCGUAGAGGGGGGUAGAAUUCCAGGUGUAGCGGUGAAAUGCGUAGAGAUCUGGAGGAAUACCGGUGGCGAAGGCGGCCCCCUGGACGAAGACUGACGCUCAGGUGCGAAAGCGUGGGGAGCAAACAGGAUUAGAUACCCUGGUAGUCCACGCCGUAAACGAUGUCGACUUGGAGGUUGUGCCCUUGAGGCGUGGCUUCCGGAGCUAACGCGUUAAGUCGACCGCCUGGGGAGUACGGCCGCAAGGUUAAAACUCAAAUGAAUUGACGGGGGCCCGCACAAGCGGUGGAGCAUGUGGUUUAAUUCGAUGCAACGCGGAGAACCUUACCUGGUCUUGACAUCCACGGAAGUUUUCAGAGAUGAGAAUGUGCCUUCGGGAACCGUGAGACAGGUGCUGCAUGGCUGUCGUCAGCUCGUGUUGUGAAAUGUUGGGUUAAGUCCCGCAACGAGCGCAACCCUUAUCCUUUGUUGCCGGCGGUCCGGCCGGGAACUCAAAGGAGACUGCCAGUGAUAAACUGGAGGAAGGUGGGGAUGACGUCAAGUCAUCAUGGCCCUUACGACCAGGGCUACACACGUGCUACAAUGGCGCAUACAAAGAGAAGCGACCUCGCGAGAGCAAGCGGACCUCAUAAAGUGCGUCGUAGGCCGGAUUGGAGUCUGCAACUCGACUCCAUGAAGUCGGAAUCGCUAGUAAUCGUGGAUCAGAAUGCCACGGUGAAUACGUUCCCGGGCCUUGUACACACCGCCCGUCACACCAUGGGAGUGGGUUGCAAAAGAAGUAGGUAGCUUAACCUUCGGGAGGGCGCUUACCACUUUGUGAUUCAUGACUGGGGUGAAGUCGUAACAAGGUAACCGUAGGGGAACCUGCGGUUG